CUGACCGAUAGUGAACCAGUACCGUGAGGGAAAGGCGAAAAGAACCCCGGCGAGGGGAGUGAAAAAGAACCUGAAACCGUGUACGUACAAGCAGUGGGAGCACGCUUAGGCGUGUGACUGCGUACCUUUUGUAUAAUGGGUCAGCGACUUAUAUUCUGUAGCAAGGUUAACCGAAUAGGGGAGCCGAAGGGAAACCGAGUCUUAACUGGGCGUUAAGUUGCAGGGUAUAGACCCGAAACCCGGUGAUCUAGCCAUGGGCAGGUUGAAGGUUGGGUAACACUAACUGGAGGACCGAACCGACUAAUGUUGAAAAAUUAGCGGAUGACUUGUGGCUGGGGGUGAAAGGCCAAUCAAACCGGGAGAUAGCUGGUUCUCCCCGAAAGCUAUUUAGGUAGCGCCUCGUGAAUUCAUCUCCGGGGGUAGAGCACU
rnacentral:rRNA from 1 species